GAUGAACGCUGGCGGCGUGCUUAACACAUGCAAGUCGAACGGAGUUUGUAAGUGGAAGCCUUCGGGUGGAAGCUUACUUACUUAGUGGCGGACGGGUGAGUAACGCGUGGAUAACCUGCCUUACACAGGGGGGAUAACAGUCGGAAACGACUGCUAAUACCGCAUAAGCGCACAGUGCUGCAUGGCACAGUGUGAAAAGAUUUAUCGGUGUAAGAUGGAUCCGCGUCUGAUUAGCUAGUUGGUGGGGUAACGGCCCACCAAGGCGACGAUCAGUAGCCGGCUUGAGAGAGUGAACGGCCACAUUGGGACUGAGACACGGCCCAAACUCCUACGGGAGGCUG
rnacentral:rRNA from 1 species